rnacentral:rRNA from 1 species
UACAGAGGUCUCAAGCGUUGUUCGGAUUCAUUGGGCGUAAAGGGUGCGUAGGUGGCGCCGUAAGCCGGGUGUGAAAUUUCGGAGCUUAACUCCGAAACUGCAUUCGAUACUGCGGUGCUUGAGGACUGGAGAGGAGACUGGAAUUCAUGGUGUAGCAGUGAAAUGCGUAGAGAUCAUGAGGAAGACCAGUGGCGAAGGCGGGUCUCUGGACAGUUCCUGACACUGAGGCACGAAGGCCAGGGGAGCAAACGGG